AAAACUUAAAACGGAACAGGAAGGUUUGAAAGGCCACAGAGCAGAUGGUUCCCAUGAGGAACUUCUCUCUUUAGUUUCAGGGUCUCCUCAGUCUUUGUUCAACAUGAAGACAGAAUCCAUGGAGCUCACUGGGACUCAUAAACCCAGAGUUCACCUGUCUACAGGUGUCAGGACUCCAUCCAGGAAAUGGUGUCUGUCCACAGUAGCAAUCUGCUGGGUGAUACUGGUAAUAAUCACUGGUCUGCGCAUCUAUUACACUUUUCUCCUUUCUGCUAAGUUGAAGGACUCUGAGGAUGUAAAUCAGCAUCUUAAUGAAAAACCCCAGAUACUACAAUCAGAUUUAUGGCAACUGCAAAAGAAAGAAGUUGCUACAAAGGACUGGAGAGAACCUCGCUUUGAGUGGACC